rnacentral:tRNA from 3 species
CUGGACCUGGGCGAAGGCGAUACGCCGUUGGUGCUGGUACACGGGUUUGGUGGCGACUUGAACAACUGGCUGUUCAACCAACCGGCCCUGGCC